GCCUGCGGCAAAUCGUUGCGUGACGCUGUACCUUCGUUGAACAAUUAUUUAAUGAGCGUGUGUGAUGUGCUAAGCACUGUGAAGAUGCUGUGGCUUCUGGGAUGGCUGGACUUCCCUGGUGGCGCAGUGUUUAAGAAUCCGCCUGCCAAGACAGGGAACAUGGGUUCGAGCCCUGGUCCAGGAAGAUCUCACAUGCCUUGGAGCAACUAAGCCCAUGUACCACAACUACUGAGUCUGCACUCUAGAGCCUGCGAGCCACAAUUACUGAGCCCACGUGCCACAACUACUGAAGCCCGCGUGCCUAUAGCCCGUGCUCCGCAACAAGAGAAGCCACCACAAUGAGAGGCCCGCGCACCGCAACGAAGAGUAGCCCCUGCUCACUGCAACUAGAGAAAGCCCGUGCACAGUAACGAAGACCCAACACAGCCAAAAAUAAAUAAAUAAAAAAUAAAUUAAUUUUUAAAAAAUCUUA